rnacentral:rRNA from 1 species
GUGCCAGCCGCCGCGGUAAUACAGAGGUCCCAAGCGUUGUUCGGAUUCACUGGGCGUAAAGGGUGCGUAGGUGGUGAGGUAAGUCGGAUGUGAAAUCUCCAAGCUCAACUUGGAAACUGCAUUGGAAACUACCUUGCUAGAGGAUUUGAGGGGGGAUUGGAAUACUUGGUGUAGCAGUGAAAUGCGUAGAUAUCAAGUGGAACACCAGUGGCGAAGGCGAAUCCCUGGAAAAUACCUGACACUGAGGCACGAAAGCUAGGGGAGCAAACAGGAUUAGAUACCCUAGUAGUCC